rnacentral:lncRNA from 1 species
UUGCUAAUUUUAAUUUAAUAAAUUAAGAAAAAAUGUGGGUGUGUAUAUAAGUAUAAGGUUAAGGUUAAAUAAUUAUGAAUAAUGAAUAAUAAAUGAUAUUGAUAUAGUAGUGGGUUAUAUUAGGCUAUAGAGUAUUGGUGUUGUUGAAGAUAACAAAAACGCGAGAGUCCUCCUCAAGAAAAGCCAAUCCCACGAAACCAAAGAAAGAAAGAAGAGAGAAGAGAAAGCAAAGGCCACGAGAGAAAGAAAAGAGCAGAAUAAGGUGUCUCUCUUGGACUGAUUCGUUUCAAUCGCAUCUAUCUUCCUUAUAUAUAUAUAUAAAGAUAAAAGAAACAACCGCAACAGCACAUAUAUAUAAUAGCGAAACAAGGAAAGAGUUUUAGUAAAUAUAAUGAGAGAAGAAGAAAGGUGCUGCUGGUGAUAAAAGAAGAGAACUGCUUGUUGCUGGUGUCGCUGGCCUCUCUACAGAUAUACAUAUAUUUAAUCCAUUCGUUGAUUCUUUCUUAUUGAUUUUCUUUUAUUCCCUCUCACUCUUUAAGAAGAAGAAGAAGAAGAAGAAGACGACGAAGAAAAGCAGGAGUAGCUGUCUCAUUCUUUUUCCUCUCAUUGCAGAGUCCGCCUUAUAAUAGCUUUUGGGCAUCUUCUCGAUCAUCAUGCUUCUUAUGUGCUAGCGUUUAUUGCUUUCUCUCUCUCUCUCUCUUUUCUUCCGCAUUUGCUCCAUACCCUUUGUUUUCUUUUUAUCUCAUCCUUUCUUUACCAUACACACAUAACGCAAACCAUAUAAAGAUUAUAUAUUCAUUUCUUACACCUUCAAAUAUACAUAUAUACACACACAUCUUUUCUCUGUAAUGGCCGUUCAAGCUCAAUACCCUUCUAAUAUUCUCCUUCUAAACAGGUUAAUCUCCAUUCUUUUUUAGCUAAUCUUUAUCUAUCUUUUUGCAUUUCCGAAAGAAAAAAAAAAAAAAAAAAAAAAAAACACUCUUUAGCUUAUCCUGUUUGUGUUGUUUUCUUGAUAUCUGCAGAAACGGCCAAGAGGGUGGCCAUGAUUACUCCUUUGCAACCGCA